rnacentral:rRNA from 1 species
UAUUAGACUGAAACCACUUUAUAUAACAAUUAUAAAACUUUUAGCAACGGAUCUCUGGGCUCUCGCAACGAUGAAGAACGCAGCGAAUUGCGAAAAGUAAUGUGAAUUGCAUAUACCGUGAAUCAUCAAAUCUUUGAACGCACCUUGCACCAUUGGGAACUCCCGAUGGUACGUCUGUUUGAGUAUCAAUCAACACCUGCAAACUUUGCUUUUAACCGAGCCAUACUUUGCAUAUCGAUUGGAUAGUUUUAUUACUACCGAUUUAGAUACAUAGUCUAGCCACGCUAGUCAACAGAGUUUAACACUUCUGAGUGACGAAUGUAGCAGCAUGACUGGGCUUCUUGAAGUCUUUAACUUUGAUCUUAAAUCAGACGAGGAUACCGCUGAACUUAA